rnacentral:lncRNA from 1 species
AACUAAACAAGGCCUAAAUUUGUUCUCUUUUAGAUAAAAUGGCAAUCGCUAAAACAGAGCAAACAGAAACGAACCCUUUCGUGCUGACGAUGGAUCGGGACGUUACUCUAUCCGUUUUGAAAUGCAGGCUAACUAAAGUCUGUUAAAACAACUAAUAGUUUGCUCAUUGCUGAUUAGUUUGGUUGUUAGCUUGCUGGUCCAUAUGUGCACAUGUUACUUAUUAUGGUUAUCAACUUACAUGCGUCAUCAACAAUGUCUUAGGACAGAUACAGGAGGAGCUUGCUGGACCAGUCCAGCUUCGAUUCCUGGAGACACGGACUACUGCAAGGUACAUUAGAAGCUACGCUGAUACAUCAACUUCGCCUGAUCAUAUAGGCCUUGUUUAGUUCGCAAAUUUUUUUGUUUUUGGCUACUGUAGCAUUUCGUUUUUAUUUGACAAACAUUGUCCAAUCACGGAGUAACUAGGCUCAAAAGAUUCAUCUCACAAAUUACAGGUAAACUGUGCAGUUAGUUUUUAUUUUCGUCUAUAUUUAAUGCUCCAUGUAUGCGACCAAAGAUUCGAUGUGACGGGGAAUCUUGAAAAUUUUUGCAAACUAAACAAGACCAUAAUUGGAGUCUUCAUCAUCAACAUCCAAGUGCAACCGACUCAAACCAUCUACAUCAAGACGGUGAUGAUAGAGUCAACAUCUGUCCUGAUGGCGAAAGCUACUGCUCUGGCGCUAGUUGCACGCCUCAAUCUGCAGUACAUAAAUUUGUUAUCAGUGAACAACUUGUGCACUUCCUGGAUGCCUGAGAUCACAUCAAUCCGCCGGAUAGGAGGAUCAAACACUUCACUCGUCUUUUUAUUAACUACACAAGACAAGCAGACACAAGAUUUUCAAAGACAUGGAGGACUCAGAACCAGAUGACAGACAAAAUCUACCUAGACAUGCUCUUUCACAUUCUCAUUUGCCUUCUCUAAGUCUAGCUUGUGUUUGUUCGAACAUAGCUCAUGUUUCGGAUGCACUGCCUUCUAUACCCUUGUACUCGGUAAGUCUGUAAAUAGCUAGAUGCCGUUGAAAUAAAGCAUGUUUGUCAUAAAAAAAAACUUACAUGAGUCGUUUUUGGUAACAUGUUCAACAGUCAUUCAUAGAUGGAAUUUAAAAGGCGGACACAUAUGGACAAGGGUAAAUUUUAAACCUUCGAUAUUUUAUAUUUUAAGACGAAGGGAGUAGAAAAUAAUAAAUAGUGCCAUCUUGUUUAUUCUAGAGUUUUUUUAAAAUAGCCAUUAUUUUAAUAACAGCUUGAUUGGAAAGGUUUUUGCAAAACCAAGUCUUUUGAUGGCCUUUCUUAGUGGAUCUAUUGUAAGUAGGCUCCAAAAGAUAUGUAUGGCAUGAGGGUAUCAUUGAGUUUUUGGUAAAUCUCGGUGCUCCAACAUGGAUUAAAUGACCCUUUUUGUCUUACUCUUGCUCUAUUUUUGUUGACCGCAAGUCUCUUGUGUGAUAACUGAUACGUCUGUUUUUGUUUACACAUCGUAUUACCUUUGUUCUAAGUUAAAUAUUCGAUUUUUUGAAUACCUAUGUUUUUUUUAAAAAACUUUAGAUUCAUGACAUAAGAUAUAUAUCUUUAAAUUCAUCAACGAGAAUUUCUUUCAUAAUAUAUAAAUUUAUAUGUUACAAAAGUAUAAGGGUUUAUUUAAAUGGAUGGUCCAAAAUAGUACUAUUUGAUUUAGAGCAAAACUAAUGUGACAUGUAUAAGAAAAAAAUGAAUGGAGUAUGAUUUAAUUCUUAUAUAUAUAUUUAAAUUGAAAAUGUUUGAUUUCUUCGAAUCUAGAUUCGAGAAUGACACUUUUUAGGUUUUUUUUAACAAUUUUUUUUAGGUUUGAUUUGAUGGACUGGGCCGUGCACCCCGUGCCAUCGUUGUUUGCCAGCCUACUCGCAUCGCAGACUCGCACUCCGCAUCGAGUUCGCACUCCGCAUCGCAGACUCGCCAAAACUGCUGCUACCCCGAAAUCCUCCGCCUUCUUCCUCGCCGUUUCGGGCUUUCGGCCCUCGCUUCCGCAUCGUCCCCAAAUCCAACCUUCCCUCCUCAAUCUCCCGUCCUCGCCAUGGCGUCCGAUACCGAGGGCAUCGCCGCCCUCUUCUCGAUGUACAACGACGACGAGGAAGAGGAGGACGCCGACGAGCCCAACCCCCCUUCCCCAGCGCCGCCCGCCGCCGUCACCUCCUCCUCGCCGCCGUCCCCUCAAGCCGGGGCGGAGGACCCUAACCCUUCCCUGGCGCCUCCGUCGCCUCCCCGUCCCGAGGAGUCGGCCGGUCUCAAAACCCUAGCGAGCCCUCACCCUUCCCCGGCGCGGGGGCUGCUUCCGCCACUUCCCUCGCGGCGCUCUCCGUCGCCCUUUGCAGUGUCGUCCCCGUCCCCGUUACGGGGACCAUCCUCCGCGCCGCCGGCCGACCUGCCGCGCCCGCCACGGCGCGGGGCGCUUGCAAUCGUGGACUAUGCGCACGAUGAGACGGCUAUGUCGCCCGAGCAGGAGGUAGAACCGGUGAAGUAUGUGUUUCAGUUAUACUGAUUGUUACCUGCUGGUUUUCCUAAUUGAUGAUAUUAGUAUGGAUUACUUGCAGGAUGGGGAGAUCAUGAGCCACACACAGAGAUUUAGCUCGGAUGCUCAGGCUGCUGACGGUAAGUUCCUAGCUGUGACCAUGUACUAAGUUACAUAUGUUAUUAAGUUUCAAUACAGAUCAAAUAAACUUAGCCCAACCAGUUUGCAGAAACUGUGUUAUGUAAGGAACUAAGGAUAUCUGAAUUGUUCUUAUGUUACUUUCUACUCAUGCUUGUAAUUCAAUUUACUUUCAUGUGAAUAUCAGGCAUAGUAGCCAUGUCAUAAUAUUACUAGAGACGGCCAUGGCCAAGCAGAAUCAUCAAACACAUCGAGUUAUUGUUAUUCAUAUAGCUGAAAGUAUGAUGAUGUCACCUUUACGUGCUUUAAUUGCAACUAGUCAUGUACACAUUCCCAUCAACCAGAGUUAUUUUGAGAUCAUGAUGUGAAACAAUCUGCUAGAAUGUUAGACUGUUUCUCCAUGUCAUGUCUUGAUAUGGGUAUUAUGCACUUAAAUUUGGCAUCUUUGACUUGUUACAUUUUGGUCUGCUUGAUCUUGAACGGGUUUUAAUGUUACACAAAGAUGCAAUAUUAUAUAGUAAUGUAGUAAGCAUUGUGAUCUCUUGUGUGACAUUUCAAUGAAAAAGAAAGUAAACUUCUAUGAUAAUCAAUUAGAUGGAGUGGACUGGUUAGAUUUGACAUCUUUGACUUGUUACAUUUUGGUCUGCUUGAUCUUGAACGGGUUUUAAUGCGAUGCAAAGAUGCAAUAUUAUAGGGUUGUGAUCUCUUGUGUGACGUUGCAAUGAUUUUUUUUUGGUUUUGUUUUGUGAAAGUAAUGGCAGGAGCUCUGCCGUUCAGUUAAGAAGAAUAGAAUUGGCCUAGUUUAUAAGGGAAACCAGGCCUGAAAACCUUACAUAGGCACAGAUUAAAACACAGAAAAUACUCACAACACCAGAACAACAUAGCCCUGACGACUAACACACAGAGGUAACACAAACCAACAACACCCACCGCGUGUCCUCAGUGCUGAGCUGAUCACAAGCACCAAAAAGCAACUCCGGAUUCCCAUGGUGAACAGCAGCCAAACGCCUUGACAUCCUCCCGUCAUCCGGUAUCUCUGUUCUCUGACACGAUCAUGUACCGAGUCUCACCUUGUGCUGUCAUUUAGUCCCCUCUAUAGCAGCUUGGCCUGGCAUGGUAUGAACGAGUCCUCGAGCAGCACAGCAGUGCAAGGAAGCAUUGUGUGAUAAUCUGCCUCAGCAUGGCUGGUCCAUCGAGGCCACUGAGUGCCACCAGCGCCUUGAUGACAAGGUCUGACGUCGGACCUUUGAAGAGGUUGAGGUAUGCAGCAAGGUCAUCUCCAUAGUUUCGCCUUCUUCCUGUGACGCCCGGCCGCUUCAUGAGCACUUGCCUUGCUUUUCUCUGCGUGUCACCACAUGGCCAAGCAAUGGCUGUUAGGCCCGCAGUGCGCCGGGACGGCUUGCUCGGCCUCUUCUUUUUCUUCCGUGGCUUCACUAGGCCAUGUUGUUGUGGAGGAAGCAGGGGUUGUUGGAUAGGCUUGGUUAUUGACUGGAUGAAGUUUGCCAGCGCUACCUCACGUGCAGUCUGGCCACCAUCUUCUGGCAAAGGUGGCGAAGUGUGUCCCUGUCUGACAAUGUCCAUGCAAGGGUCGGCACUAGCGGCAGCACCAGAGCCACGACGGGGCGUUUGGACUCGCAGCGCGGACGCCUGGUGCACACGCAACCCUGGCGAAACGACGCCUCAUCAACCUGAACCUCGUCGUCCCCUCCAAGGUCGCCUUUGCCAGUUCUGUAUCCUCGAGCUAGCACACAGGAUGAUGCAUCAAUCUCCAGUGUGGGGGUAGUAGACUCAACAGUCUCUAACCUUAGCAUUUGAGCUGACGAACCUGUUGUCUGCUUCUCUGGUUGUAUAACAGGACAGGAGGGCUCAGCAUUUGUUGAGGCCGGGGAGAAUCCAUGUCAGCCAAAGUACUACAUCGCAAUGAAAAAUAAAGUGAACUUCUAUGAUAAUCAAUUAGAUCUAGUGGACUGUUGGCUAGUGGUGUGCAUUACAAUGCAAGAAAAAUUAGGGUUAUGAUGAUUAACUAGAUUCAGUGGACUGUCAGUGGACUGUUUUGGUCAAAUGUUAUUGCAUGCUUUUAGGAAAAUUGUUGUGCUCUUGUCAAACUGUCAGAUGAGUGAUUUUUUUUUGACAUUUUUAUUCCUCCCACUGUUGCAUUUGCUGAUAUAAGCAUGCCCUGAAGAGCAUCCUCUUGAAACAUAAACACUUAGGUAUUCUUAUAUUAAUGCAUUUGAUUUUACUGUUAAUCUUGGUAACAACAGUGUAGGUUUUUUAACCUUGGCUAAGUGCAUUUUGGAAAUCUGUGUCUCGGUGACUCAGUUUAAAACUGCUCUGAUUGAACUCGUUUUUCUUUUAAAACAAAAAUGAGUUGAUUUUGAAUGACUUUUGACUUCGGCUUGACUCAUUAAACUUGGUGCGAAGUUGAGUAUCAAAUAAUUCAGAAGGCCGUAAGAUUAUGUCAAUUCGAAGAAAGCUAAAAAAGUGCAGUUUGCUUGUUAUCCAACCCUAAAUCAGUUCUGAUAAAAAACCCCGUAAUUAUCAGUUUGUACAACAAUUUGAUUGAUGUGAAGCAAAACAAUUUGUGCAUACCCAUUCUUUAAUACAUUGUUUGGGAAGCCACCGAUCACAUAGCUGGAGUACUUGAUAGUUUAAUUUGACUUAAUUAUAUUGGAUGCUUGGUGUGUACAGUCUGACCUCUUUUACAAAAAAUACAUAUAAGUUAUGUUUUCUUUUCACAUGUCCGGAGCAAUUUAGUCAUUGCAAUGUCAAACAUCCAUCAGAUUAUAUAUAUGAUCUACCCUUCCAUCUUGUUUCUAGGGGAUCUUGAAGAACGAACUCUCUCUGGCACAGUUCAUAUUAUGACCCCAAAUACUCCAGCAGAAAUGUCUCAUCAUCCUGAUGCACCCGAGCAGAACCAAGUAGGGACAGACAUGGAAGUGGAUGCAACUAGAGCAGAAACUGAAGAUGCCCAGGUGGAGGAAACUACUGGUAUUUCAACCAAUGGUGAUAAUGAUGAUCCAUUGAGCCGUUUCCUUCCUCCACCUGUGACUACAAAAUGCUCUGCAGCAUUACAGGUUAUCCUAUGAUCAAAUAAUUAUGAUACCUAUUUUUUAACCCUAAACAACUUAGUCACAUUUUUGUACAAAAUAUCAGAUCAUGGUGGGACGUCUUCCACUCUUCCAUGUAGUGUUUGAUGAACACCAUCAUCUAGAUUUAAAAUUGAUGAAACUAUCAUGUUCUCCUGCAAUGUGAAGGCAAAGCUAAACAUCUGCAUCAUACAUUUCCACACCUGUAUAUGCUAACAGGAUGCUAUCAAGAAUGGCUAUGUCCUAUGAUAGCUUUACUUUAUCAGUUCACCUUGAAUGCUUGAAGGCUUUUCUAUUCCUUUUCUGGUCGUCUGCUUCUCUUUUCAAGUUUUAUGAAAGCAUCAUGAUAAUGUUGCUAUUCAGGCAAUAUUUACACUAGGAAUGUCUCUACACACCUUCACACUUGUUCAGUUAUUCUUGUGUUGGUUCUUACUGCAAGUAUUUACUUUACUUAAAACUCAUUACCUAUUGUUUUCUGCAGCAAAAAAUUAACAGGUUCCUUGCAUACAAAAGGGCUGGAAAGAGCUUUAAUGCUGAAGUGCGCAACAGGAAGGACUACAGAAAUCCAGACUUUUUGCAGCAUGCUGUGCGGUACCAAGAAAUUGAUCAGAUAGGGACCUGUUUUGGUAAAGAUGUUUUUGAUCCUUAUGGGUAUGACAAAGGCGACUACUAUGAUGAGAUAGGUAUUUGUAUUUGUUCAAUAUACUAUCCUCUUGGGAGCGUUACAAACUUACAAUAAAGUUUCUUUUACUGGUUAAAUAUUAGGACCUGGUCAAUUAGGAACAUUUAGAUAAUGUUCUAUUGUUCACCUAUCUUGAAUUGUCAAAGGUCUUUCACUCACUUUUUUUUUCAGGAAAAUGCUAUAAGAGUUAAGAGGCUAAACUAGCUAUUCAGGUCUGUAUAUGUAACACAAAGUUAGAUGAUGGGCAGAACAUGGAAUAAUCUAGUGCGUCGUUGAAUUUUUUUUAUAUAGAAAUGGAAAUAUUUAAUGUACCAUAAGCUCACAAAGAGUUACUUAUUUUUUUAAAGUGAACUGAAAUUAUAUAUCUAUUGAUGUUGUACUUAUGCAAGAAGGGACAAAUAGCAAUUUUUUUUUUUAAAAAAAUAUAUAUUUGGCACCAAUACUGAACAUUCAGUCUGUCUGUUUGGUGAUAUAUAAUGGUAUUCCAGUUUACAUCUUAUCCGUACUAUUUGAAUGCAGAAGCUGAAAUGAAGCGUGAACUUGAGAGGAAGGAACAGGAGAAGAAAAGGAGCCCAAAAGUUGAAUUUAUUACUGGAGGAGUACAACCUCCAAUUAGUGCAUCAUUACCGAAGAUCCCAGGUACAAUGAACAUGAAGCACUUCUAUUUUCUGUUUUGGCAGUACUGGAUGGGGCACAGCCUCCAUUUAUGUGGUUUUAUUAUUCUGAUGUUUGUUAUAUAUAUACUCAGCUCUGGCCGGUGUCAGUACACUACCAGUACCUACAGAAGGUUUGCAGAAAGAGACUAGACCAAACAAGAAGUCAAAAUGGGAUAAGGUGUUUAAUCAACCAAUCUAGGCAUCUAACCUUGUUUGGAAUACUAAUCUUUUGGGCUGACUUCUGUUUUGUUUUUAUUUGUUACUUGUUAGGUUGAUGGUGAUGUUAAGAACCACUUGGUACCUAGUGGACACGACAACUUAUCAGCAACUGCUUCUGCGGCACUUUUGACUUCAGCUAAUGUUGGUGCUGGAUAUGCUGCUUUUGCGUAAGUUCUGUUGCUUCAUUAUGGCUGUCUUUACCAUGUUCAGAUUAUCCAUUAGCACAAUGUUAUUUCUUGUUAAGGCCUGUAGCAAUCUUCCUGCGAGGUGACUAGGUGCCCUCCCACUCCUGUUUGCUCACACCUUUGCUCUAGGCCUUGUGCCACGAUGUUGUUUCUUAUUAUGUUAAUCUGAUCAACAAAUGCCAAUUUUCAAACCUUUGUUCUUUUGUUUUGGUUUAUCAACUGGGGAAAACCAUGUUCAGUUUUACAGUUUUACUGGCACUUAUUUCUUUUGUUACUUCAUCUGUUUUCGUCACCUUUUGUUUGCACCAUAACUCUAGUUUGCAAUUAAGUGACCAUAUGUGACAGAAAAAAGAAUGUCAAGGUUCAAUCAUUACAACUGGCAAAACCUCACUAAACAUAUGGCAUUGAUAUCCACAGCCUUUGAGGCCAUAUUUGGUAAGCUGUAUAUGCCCCUAAGGCCCUAACUAACAAACAGCAUCUGACCCAAGAUUGCAGAAAGUGGCAACAACAAACAAGCGUUCAAAAAACAAGCAUUGAUUAAAAAUGAAUGGUAGAAUCAAUGGCAAAAGCAAUUAAAGGGAUUGUGAUAUAUUAUGAAGAGAAAAUAGAGCUGGCAAUAUUUUCCAUUACAAUUUGUUGUUCAAUUAUAACAAUGUAUUCUUGUUUUCCAGGCAACAAAAGAGAAAAGAGGCUGAAGAGAAGAGAAGCGAUUAUAAGUCAGACAGAAGAUCCUAGCAGCACCCUCCUCUUUGAUCCAUUCUGAGCAGUCAGUGUAUCAUUGAGUUUUUGAGUGACUUAGUUUUGUAAUGUGGAUGAGGAAGAAACAAAACAAUUAAAAUCAGUCCAAGGCAAAUGAUUCCAGGAAAGGCCCUCUGAGCAACUUGUAGUCUUGUAUUAUACAGGUAACAGAAACAUAUCAUUUUAGGACAAGAAAAAGAGAACCGUGGCCGUGUGCGUGUUUUUGCGUCCAGCUCAUUGCACUGUCGCUGGAAUGCUGGGAUUUCCAACUAUAACCUUUUUCAAGGUUCAACAUUGACGAUCACGUUUACUUUUAUGAAGCAGAACAUCGUCGGUGGCAGUCACUCAUAUCCAUGUGAUGUUUCAGGGCCGAUGUCGUGCGGUCUGCCGCUCAACACGCUACCACUGGCGCGCGACACGCAAUGCUACAGUGCGGUAAAUGUACGACAUAAGUCACUGCUACAGCGUAGAUGGUAGCGCAACAGCAAAAGCCAACGACAUGACCCACCUCAAAUAAUCAUUCACGGUCACGGCAACCUCGAAAGCUCGUUUGUAAACCCAAACGGUCAGCAAUCUGCGGCAACUGAAGCGACCACCGUCGGUUUGCGUUCGCCACCACCAACCGGCAACGUGACCACCGUCUCUGGCUCGAUGCAGCUCAUUACUCCCAAAUUGGCCCGACGCACGUCCAUGAAUUCACCACAGUGCUGCGCAGUGCGCACACACCACCGUAGAUCUGGCACUGGCACUCUGGCAGACACAGCAAUUGCAGAGGGACUUUCCCGUUGGCCUCGCUGCCCUGCCCUGCCCAGCGGGCGCCGGGCUGCAGUAACCACAAUAAAUUACCAGUCAUCCAUUGGCGGUAACCAACGCUGCAGCGGGAAACGGAAUAGUACCCGCAACUAGUCUGGUUGGAUUUCCCGUAGAAACGAGAGUUUUCCCCGCCGCUUCUGUUGCUGAAGACCAUGGCACGGCCGGCAGGUGUUUUACGGACAGCGGCAGAAGAGGCGAGUAUAGCGCGGUAGCGGCGCAUGCAGCGUGGCUGCGUGGGUCUCCGCGCUCAGGGCGUCAGGUAGGAGUAGGCUGUAGUAGGCAUCUCUCAGAUCGCUGUCCCGUCCCGCGCGGCCCCAAGCAGAAGGGCGUCGUCUUGCAGGCUUGCCGCGCGGCCACGGCAGACACGGCCAGACCGCCAGAGACCCAGACUCGCAGGCAGGGCAGGGCAGGGCAGGCAGGCAGACAGCCGCCGGGGGCUGCGUGGUGUUGUGCUCUUCGCUCGUCCCACGAUGCAAAACGCGAUCAAAACACAUCGGUCCGACCACCCGCCCACACGGCGAGGGGCGAGCGGCACCCAACGGUAACUUUGCCUUGCCCUGUCCGACUCGGACUGCGAGUCCGGACACGCGCCGACGUGAACUGCUGCUUGAUUUGAGGCGGGGGAAAAAAGAACAGGAACAAGUGUAUCCUCUGACCUGUGGUCUUGGACCAGACCCGUCGUCAAGCGACGCUGUACAUAUCUAAUUGGAGCAAUUGUCCCAUCGAUUGGCAGGAAUCAGGGCAAUGUACAUGUACGUGGAAUGCAAUCACUCAGGCUAGAAUCCGUUUUCUUUCUUUCAGGCCUGUUGUCGUCAUGGCAGCCUCAUUAGUCAUUAGCAGUAAACCGAGCUUCACAUGUUUACUCCAACCAUCCUAUAGUAAGGAUAGGCACUCUAACAUUUUUGUCAAUUAGUAUCUAAUCAUAGACUAAUUAGGCUUAGAAAAUUUGUCUUACAAAUUACUCUAUAGCUUUGUUUUUAGUUUCAUAAAUAGUCUAUAUUUAGUACUCCAUUUAACAACACCAACCAAAAAAAGGCCUAAGAGUCAUUCUUACCUUAUAUACUCAGAGGUAGGUCUAGCGGUAAGACCGGCGAUGCUCAAACUCCACCUACCUUAUAAUCACUUUUUCGUGAACCUUUCCCCAAUACAUCUCAAUCUUUUUCAUUCUCGUUUCGUAUCACACAUUUUCACUCAUCUUAUUGACACGCCCAAAGCUAAUAUGGGGCAGAGGGAGUACUUACUCUUAAGUAGUUCUAACUUACCUAUAUAUAGUUACAUAAAGUUACCACAACUAACUUAUAAUUUCUAAUAGAAAGAAUAUCUUUUUAAUUUUUCUAAUAGAGUAGGAUCUUGUGGACUUAAUUAUGGCAAAGCUUGAAAGUCCCCCUAUAAAGCAGAAGUCGAAGGUCUAGGAAAGAUCAACAUUAUACUUAUUGCUAACUCGGGUCAGGGACCAAAAGCCCCGCCAAACUUUUGGCGCGAAAUUAGACACAGUAAACUACAGACAAGUUGGAGCAGUUGCGGCAUGCCAAAGCUAUAGAUACGAACUAAACGACAACCUAAAUAAGUCAACGCACCAGACUUCAGGUGUCGUAAGUUAUCGCUACAUACCAAACAGACCCUUAGUAUCAUAAAAGAACUUUCGGAUCAAAAAAUGCUAAAAAUGACUAUUACUACUACUAAACUUCCUUUUACCAAAAGAGGCAAAAACACAGCAGUCAACAGUACGUUGAAACUAUAGCAAACAGCAGUCGCCCCAUGCCUGAGCACGAGCCACGAGGUGAAGAACAGCGGUACCGUACAUACUCCUACACAGGACACAGGAGGGGCAAUUUGGUCACGGCAAAAAAACCAACGGCCAGUUCCUCACACGAGAGGAGGGAAGAGCACUUCAAAGGCGAUUAAACCCAGCACCCAGCAGCAAAACCCAGCCCAGCAACGAUAAAAAGGCAAGGGAAACAAAAGGAAGCAUCACGAGAUAAAAGAGAGGAGGCUGGCCGGCGACCAGUACUCGCCACAGCUAGACGCCGCUAGGCUGUUGUGUCCUGUGUGCGGAAUCGCCGCUCUCGGCCGCCGCCGCUGGUGUCCCUCCCUCCCUCUUGCGCCGCCUGUCCCCGCACCCCUCGCACUCGAAACCUUUCCCCAACAGAUUUCGUCCUGGUGUGGGCGGCUGUUGCUUGUGGAUACGUUUCAUCUCUAUAUAUCUCACUGCUUUGGAUUCUUCUUCCUGAUUUGCCAAGAGAGGCCCAGAAGAGGAAGCACGCAGGAACCAACCAACCAGUCAUCGAAUCGGCGUGCGGCGGUCUGGUGAUUUUAAGGGUCGAGAUCGUGUUCUUGGGAGGCUGAGGGACAAGAGCUCCCUUCCUGUCCUCUUUCCUGCGGCUUGUCUUGGUCCAAGAGGGCAAAACUCGCCGGGAGGAAAUGGCGGAGGUGAAGCCGGAGGAGAUAAGCCAUCCGCCCAUGGAGCAGCUCCAGGGGUUCGAGUACUGCAUAGACUCGAACCCUCCCUGGGGUGCGUAUCGGAGCUUGGAGCUGAAACGAGUUCGCAUUUGCGUUGGAAUUCGGUUCUCUGGAUCUUUUUUUCGUCUUCGUUUUUUUUUAAUCCCUUUUCGUUUUCAUUUCAGGCGAGGCGAUCAUACUGGGCUUCCAACACUACAUACUGGCGCUGGGCACAGCGGUGAUGAUCCCGGCGGUGUUGGUUCCCAUGAUGGGUGGCGACGAUGUGAGCUCCUGUGUCAUGCCUUCCGCUUUUUGGCCACACCAGAUUCGUGCCGGUUCUUGGCAGCAUCAGUUUGGUGAUGUGAUGUUUUGGGUCCUCUUUCCCUUUCGCUUGUGAUUGUUGUCGCUAUUUGCAGGGAGACAGGGUCAGGGUGGUGCAGACGCUGCUGUUCGUGACGGGGAUAAACACGCUGCUGCAGUCCCUCUUCGGGACCCGGCUGCCGACGGUCAUCGGCGGCUCCUACGCGUUCGUGAUCCCGAUAAUGGCCAUCAUCCAGGAACCGUCGCUUUCGGGGAUAGCCGAUGGUCACCAGGUGAGAAAUUGCCUGUCUCCAUUCUCUUGCUUCUGAUGAGCCGGUGGUCUAAUCUGCAAGUUUUUUCCUCCGUGAUUGAGCAGAGGUUCCUCGAGACCAUGAAGGCGAUACAGGGGGCACUGAUAGUGUCCUCCAGUAUUCAGAUCAUCCUGGGCUACAGCCAGCUGUGGGGUAUUUUCUCCAGGUUGCUUUCCUUCACACUUCACAGUCCAAGCAUUCUAGUUCUAGUGCUCUUGCCUUGGAAGAACUAGGAUUUACCCAAUUCUAGUUGUAGUUAAAUGUUGGAAUGGAUUGGCCUGCUUCUGCAUUCCAUUUCAGUUUUGACAGUGCCGAGGAUUUACUGAUUGGUUCGAAAAAUGCAUAUCUUCUUUCAGAUUUUUCAGUCCAGUGGGGAUGACUCCAGUGGUUGCGCUGCUGGGAUUUGGCCUUUUCGAAAGAGGUUUCCCUGUGGUACCGCUUGCUUUGUCCCUAUCUCCGUUUUGUACUGUCAACUUGUGCGCAUGACCACGCAAGACGUGGAUAUGUUGAUGAGGAAUAGCUUGUCCAUCCAAUUGAUGUCUGAUCAUAUUGCAUCAGGUUGGGAGAUGCGUGGAGAUUGGCUUGCCAAUGCUGAUUCUCUUUGUUGUGCUCUCUCAGGUUUGACAAAACUCCAGAUUGUUCAAUAUUCUAUCCACCAAAUUCAUCUUGGGAAGUUAACCAUACCUAAUUUGUGCCUUUACAUUCUUUCCCAGUAUCUGAAGAAUAUACAAAUAAAAGAAAUUCCCAUACUGGAAAGGUUCUCCCUUUUCAUCUGUAUCGCAUUGGUAUGGGCAUAUGCUCAAAUCCUCACUUCAGGUGGAGCCUAUAAGAAUAGCUCUGAGGUCACUCAGAACAACUGCCGCACUGACAGAGCCAAUCUGAUCUCUUCUGCCCCAUGGUUAGUACCCUUGCAACCACGAUGUUAAGCGUUUCGUGUAAAUGUAAAGAUGCUCAAUCUAGUAUUAGGCACUACUUGUAUGGUGAACAUUUAUAUCGGUAGUCAAUUUUUGUAAGUCUGAACCCAUUUUUGGUCUAGCAUACGUGUUUUCAGUGACAUGAACCUGACAGUAUUCGUCAUAUUUUUUUGUUUGUUUGUGAAAAGGCACUGAUGAUUGUUACUGCUACUAUCAAUAAUUCAAUAUAUUGUGGAAAAAAACAAUGUUCUAAUGUUGGAGACUUGGAGUCCUGAUUUUACAUUGGAGGUGUGAUAAAGUAGUUCAGGGCUGUUUGGUUCGUACGACAGUAACGUAAAUGGAAAUAAAAGUAGUUCAAAUGGUAUGUCUAGCGGUAACGUCCAUAGCUUUAAUUCCAUUCAUUUGCACUACCAUGCUAUAACCAAACAACGCAUUUGUCGCAACUUAAGAUAGAUCUUCAGUUGCAUCCCUUUUGUUAGAUAGAGGAUAAAGAGUGACAUAUUGGUGCCACUAACAACGUAACGUGCUGUUUGGUUCGUACGACAGUAACGUAAAUGGAAAUAAAAGUAGUUCAAAUGGUAUGUCUAGCGGUAACGUCCAUAGCUUUAAUUCCAUUCCAUUUGUGUUACACGCUAUAACCAAAUAGGCAUUUGUCGCAACUUAACAUAGAUCUUCAGUUGCAUCCCUUUUGUUAGAUAGAGAAUAAAGAGUGACAUAUUGGUGGUACUAACAACUUAACGUGCUGUUUGGUUCGUACGACAGUAACGUAAAUGGAAAUAAAAGUAGUUCAAAUGUUAUGUCUAGCGGUAACGUCCAUAGCUUUAAUUCCAUUCCAUUUGCGUUACCACGCUAUAACCAAAUUGUGCAUUUGUCGCAACUUAAGAUAGAUCUUCAGUUGCAUCCCUUUGGUGAGACAGCACGCUGAUCCAUUGACUUCACCCAGGAUUAAGAUUCCUUACCCGUUGCAAUGGGGUGCACCAACCUUCAAUGCUGGCCAGUCAUUUGGUAUGGUGUCUGCUGUUUUGGUCUCGCUAGUAGAGGUGAUACACUUCAGCCUUGGAUCCUUUUAUUUUGGAAUUCAAGAACAGCAGAAUUGACCUUAACACAAUGUCUCUCUUGGACAGUCCACUGCCUCUUACAAAGCUGCUGCUCGGCUUGCAAGUGCGACUCCACCUCCGGCUCAUAUCCUGAGUAGAGGCAUUGGGUGGCAGGUAAACACUUUCUUGCACCCAUGAUUGUUCUUCUUUUGAUGUUCCGUCAGCUGUUCAAAACUGAAAAAGAUGCUCUGCAAACAACAGGGAAUCGGCAUCCUUCUUGAUGGGCUCUUUGGAACGGGGACUGGAUCCACUGUCUCAGUGUGAGUGUCUAUGCCAAAAUCUUCUUCACCACUGUGCCUCUGCAGAUGUUUUUAUUACAAGCCUUGACACUACUUGGUUGGCUGGCACAACGAUGCAGGGAGAACGUUGGGUUGCUUGGGUCGACAAGGAUUGGGAGCCGGCGCGUUAUACAGAUCUCAGCUGGCUUCAUGAUAUUUUUCUCCAUACUGGGUGAGCCGCUGUUUGAUCGUCUAGUAAUUAGACUGUUUACAGAUCAUGUCAACAACUGAGGCCCCUGAGUGCGAGGAGCAGCUCCUGACACUCUUCAUUUAUCGAAUUGCAGGGAAAUUUGGAGCUUUGUUCGCUUCUAUCCCAUUCACCAUCUUUGCAGCUGUGUACUGCGUCUUGUUUGGACUAGUUGGUUGGUCAUCCUGUUUCCCUGAACCCGUCUCUGAAUCUGAUGCGAGUAAUGUGUGCAGUCUGCUGGCUGCGCUUUGGUAAUGCUGCUGCCUGGGCUGACGGCUUUUUUUCACCUUUCUCUGACUUUCAGCUGCAGUGGGGCUGUCCUUCUUACAGUUCACUAACAUGAACUCCAUGCGCAACCUCUUUAUCGUCGGCGUCUCCAUCUUCCUGGGCCUGUCCGUGCCGGAAUACUUUUUCCGGUACACCAUGGCUGCUCACCGUGGUCCUGCGCACACCAAAGCUGGAUGGGUUCGUCUUUCUCUCUCUCGAUUGACCCCAUUUCAAUAUUUCAUGGCCCAAGGUCAAACAGUACCUGAGAUAUCGUGUAGCUAAUUUGUGUGUGCGUGUGUGACCUUGGUUGUUGAAAAAAAUGCAGUUCAACGACUACAUCAACACCAUCUUCUCGUCACCGCCGACGGUGGGGUUGAUUGUGGCCGUGUUCCUGGACAACACGCUGGAGAUGAAGGACGCGGGCAAGGACCGGGGGAUGCCGUGGUGGCUGCGGUUCCGGGCGUUCAAGGGCGACAGCAGGAACGAGGAGUUCUACAGCCUGCCAUUCAACCUCAACCGCUUCUUCCCUCCGGCGUAAACCCGGCCGCUUCUCUGGAACAAGUCACACUCAGAUUGCUGAGCCCAGCUUUGAUUUGUGUAGGAGAUCGAUCGAGUUGCCCACAUUGUUUGAUUCGUUGAUCUCUAGCUGUUUCAUGUUGUAGAUUAUCUUGGGGAGGGGAGGUCUCCUAGUAUGCUACUGACCAACCCAGUAAAAAUGGUCGCCUACCGUUUUUGUUAUACUUGUUAGUACAUGCGUGUACCGUCGUCUAUCUCCGGCCAGCCAUAGCGAAUGCCGUGCAAUCUGCGGCGGUCCAAUGCUCCAGUGAGUCUUGUCCUGUCCUGCACCAGCAUCCGGGAUGGAUGGCGCGCCGGAGCAGGAAUCCUAUGUGACGGAAGUGGACGUUACGUCCGUAAGAAGACUGAGAAGCAAAUCGUGGUGGAGUAUGUGCACGCUUCCAGUCCCCUCACUUCACGCGCGGACGCAGCACUGCCUAGCUCACCAGGCCGCCAAUGGCAGGGCAGCAGCUGGGCGUGCGCGUGCCGCGUGCGCCUGACAGACAGCUACGAACUCGCAAUGCCAUGACGCGGAUGAUCAUGAGUAGGUCACGCACGGCUCGCUUGCUCUGGUCGCAGAUUCUCGCGUGGCUGCGCCGCUGCAGCCGCAUGACGGCAUGAGCUCGCUGAGGAGCGGUGUUGGUUGCUGACGGCGAAGUCGAGCGGGACUAAACAAUGUCGGCCCGGGCUCACGAGGAAUGAACCUGUGGUGGGCCUUGCUGUGUGGCGGGCUGCAUAGGAAUGGGCCGCCACUCCUGGACAGACGGCGUGAGGCCGAUCCCCAAGGCUCAUUGGGCCCGUUGGCUUCGUGGCGUGACACACUUGCUCAAAUAAAAAAUAGCAUACAUCUACAUCUACAUCUCUAUCUCCAUCUGUAACAUCUUUAUCUAUGUAUAUCUAUACCAUCAUAUUAUAUUGUAUUAUAUUAUAUUGUAUUCUAUCUCCAUCUGUAACAUCUAUAUCUAUAUAUAUCUAUACCAUUAUAUUAUAUUGUAUUAUACUAUAUUGUAUUAAAUAUGAUAUUAGCGAGCGAAGUAAUUUUUCUAUAUUCAUCCUUUUUUACUUUCUAAUAAAGCGUCCUCGCUUCUCUUCUUAUCUCAUCUAUGAUCUAGACUUAUAACCCAUGUUCAUACAGUUAGAACUGCAUGCGUUGGGUGAUGGUUCAAAUUCUGAUUCCAAUAUGUAUUAGAAUAGAUGACACAACUGUUAUGUAUAUCUUCGAGCUACAGGGGCUCUAUGGUUUCUAUAGACCUGUCCUGCCUUGACACAAGCAACGAAAGCAAUGUUCUUAAGGCGGCAGUAAGGAGAGGCACGAUGAACACAACCCCCUUCUAGGCAUUUAAGGCAUGAGGCGAGGCGAGGCCAUACAAGCAUCUUAAUAUUAUGCAAUUAGAAUUUAGAAGCAAACUAUACCAGCAUCUCCAGCAGUGCUACCUAAAUCCUAAAUGUCUAUUUGGGUAGCCACCCAUUUUAAUACUACCUAGAUUUUGCUCUCAACUUCAACAGUACUACCUAAAACUAGCUAUCCAUUUUUGUCUUAGCAGAGGAUGACUUCUAGGUCCCACAAUCAGAGCAUGAAUAGGAGAGAGAGGCGCGUGGGUGGGAGAGAAGAUUUGGGUAGCAGUGUCCUUGACCCGAUAGGAAUGGGUAGUGGAGAGUGGGAUUUGGGUAGCCAACAAAUCUGUUGGGUGGAAUAGGUAAUCUGCUGGAGUUGAUUUUUAGCCCUCCACUACUCAGAUUGAAGAUAGGUAGUCUAUUUAGGUAGCCUGCUGGAGAUGCUCUAAUAGUUGGAAUUAGAAGAAAAUCAUACAUUAAGAGUUGGCUGCAAAGUAGAGAUGAGUUAAACGAGAGCACAAGCAGUCAACCGCAUGGCAAUCUAGCACAAUCAUCCACCAAACCACAACAAUUUAUAUACAACUAAUAGCAAAAAAAAGGAAGGAGCGCAUCUAUCCAGAUCCUAACAAUCUAGCACGAGCACUCAAAGCAAAGUGGAGGAAGUAGGGGACUAGGGGAGAAAAGGGUGUACUUACAGGAUGAUGGAGGCACGAAACGGUGGAGGGCUGGAGGUUGUAGAGAAGUUAAGAGCGCGGAACAAAAGAUGUCGCGAUUGGGGCGGAGGUCAGGGCCGCGGGUGCGGCUAGGGUUGCGUUGUUGCGGAUGUAGUAGAAGUCGCGGAUGCGGUGGAAGUUGCGACCGAAAGCGAGCAGGGCAAGCAGCGGGAUGAAGGAGGUAGCCGCCAUCGCCGCCGAAUUCUAGAUGGACCCCUCAACCCUCUUCUCUUUCCCCCUCUCUCUUUCUUUCCCUCUCGCUAGGCAGGAGUUGUAGGCGCUAGGCGGUCUUUCCCCUAUGCACGCGACAA